CAACAGCGUCACUCCUAUCUGUACCGGUUGUGAGAACAAGUUUCCCAAUCUGUUGGUCUUGAAUCUGUUCGCCUUGAUUUCCCAACGUGUGUGUGAGCUUUUUUGGAUCUCUUUGCGGACUUUGGUCAACGUAGCCUCCGUCGUCUUCCUCCCGUGCCACAAGGUUUCUUCACCACUGUUGUGGUUUGGCUGUAUUCAAGGACUCAAAGAUGGCGACAAUGAACAAUCGUUCGGGAUUUUUGAUUCUCGUUGCUGCCCUUAUCGCCUGUGUUCCAUAUUGCAAUGGUAAGUUUCU